UAAGGGAUAUUGCGCAAUGGGCGAAAGCCUGACGCAGCAACGCCGCGUGGAGGAAGAAGGCCUUCGGGUCGUAAACUCGUUUUGACGCUGAGGAAAACCUGACCGUAGGCGUCGAAUAAGUCACGGCUAACUACGUGCCAGCAGCCGCGGUAAAACGUAGGUGGCGAGCGUUAUCCGGAUUUACUGGGCGUAAAGGGUGUGCAGGCGGGGUGUCAAGUGGUGUAUGAAAGGCGGUGGCUCAACUGCCGCAUGGUAUGCCAGACUGAUGCUCUGGAGGACCAAACAGGGCUGUGGAAUUCCGGGUGUAGUGGUGAAAUGCGUAGAGAUCCGGAGGAACCCCAGAGGCGAAGGCGGCAGCCUGGUUGGCUCCUGACGCUCGGACACGACAGCAUGGGGAGCGAAC
rnacentral:rRNA from 1 species